UGCCGGGUGGUGCAAUGGUAGCACAGGGGCCUUUGAAGCCCUCAAUCUUGGUUCGAGUCCAAGCCCGGCAG
rnacentral:tRNA from 2 species